rnacentral:rRNA from 1 species
CGUGGGUAACCUGCCCAAUAGAUCGGGAUAACACCUGGAAACAGAUGCUAAUACCGUAUAACAACAGAUGAUGCCUAUCAACUGUUUAAAAGAUGGUUCUGCUAUCACUCUUGGAUGGACCUGCGGUGCAUUAGCUAGUUGGUAGGGUAACGGCCUACCAAGGCGAUGAUGCAUAGCCGAGUUGAGGGACUGAUCGGCCACAUUGGGACUGAGACACGGCCCAAACUCCUACGGGGAGGCAGCAGCC